rnacentral:rRNA from 1 species
UUGGGGGGAUGCUGGUUGAUGCUGGCGCUCGCAUCGCAAGUCGAGCGGACAGAAGGGAGCUUGCUCCCGGAUGUUAGCGGCGGACGGGUGAGUAACACGUGGGUAACCUGCCUGUAAGACUGGGAUAACUCCGGGAAACCGGAGCUAAUACCGGAUAGUUCCUUGAACCGCAUGGUUCAAGGAUGAAAGACGGUUUCGGCUGUCACUUACAGAUGGACCCGCGGCGCAUUAGCUAGUUGGUGGGGUAAUGGCUCACCAAGGCGACGAUGCGUAGCCGACCUGAGAGGGUGAUCGGCCACACUGGGACUGAGACACGGCCCAGACUCCUACGGGAGGCAGCAGUAGGGAAUCUUCCGCAAUGGACGAAAGUCUGACGGAGCAACGCCGCGUGAGUGAUGAAGGUUUUCGGAUCGUAAAGCUCUGUUGUUAGGGAAGAACAAGUGCGAGAGUAACUGCUCGCACCUUGACGGUACCUAACCAGAAAGCCACGGCUAACUACGUGCCAGCAGCCGCGGUAAUACGUAGGUGGCAAGCGUUGUCCGGAAUUAUUGGGCGUAAAGGGCUCGCAGGCGGUUUCUUAAGUCUGAUGUGAAAGCCCCCGGCUCAACCGGGGAGGGUCAUUGGAAACUGGGAAACUUGAGUGCAGAAGAGGAGAGUGGAAUUCCACGUGUAGCGGUGAAAUGCGUAGAGAUGUGGAGGAACACCAGUGGCGAAGGCGACUCUCUGGUCUGUAACUGACGCUGAGGAGCGAAAGCGUGGGGAGCGAACAGGAUUAUAUACCCUGGUAGUCCACGCCGUAU